GUGUUUUAUGGUUGAUAAAGACCAGGCUGAAGUCAAUGCCAUCCGUAAGGUGUUCAACGAGUCAGACAUUCUCCUUUGUUGGUACCAUGUAACGCAAGCAGUAACUCGUUGGCUGUCAAUAUCUGAAUCUGGUGUGAGUGGACCUGAAAAGGCAGAUUGAAGAGCGCACAUCAUACAGUUUAUGUCAGAGAUGAAAUGCUGUUCAAAGGUGUGUUGCUAUUUGUUUUAGGGUGCUUUCACACCUACACUUUUGUUUCAGAACCUGUCUUGUUUGCCCAGUUAGCGCGGUUCGUUUGGCAUAUGUGAACAAGGCAAUUGCGCUCUAUUCCACGCCAAAGUAAUCGCUCCGAGACCGCCUUAGUGAGGCUCGAUUGAAACGAACCCUGGAGCGGUUCGAUUGCAUGUGAAAGUGAACCGCUCCUAGAGCAAAGAGCAACAAUGUUAACAUUUUUAAUCUCUUUUUCGGAACAACUAAAUCCAUUCACAGGUGUGAAAGCACCCUUAUAGUACAACUGUAUGUUCUAAUGUGUCAUUCUACUUUGGUAACAAGCUUGUAACAUGCAUUACUAAUAUGUGAAAAAAUUAUGUUAAUGACAGCUAAUAUAAAAUGGUAACCCACAUACAGUAUGAAGAGUUCAGAUGCAAAAGCCUCUAAGUCAGGUCUCAAACUGCCGACCCUCAAACCAUUUGCGCCCCUGCCUCCUCCAUCCGGCCCACAACUGACAUCAAAAAUAUAAUGAUAUUCAGCCCAUCAAAACAUAUAUUUUUGAAUCGCUAUCAUUGUUGUGCUAUCACAUACUUCUGGUUUUGACUCCCCACCUACUGAACAUUUAAAGUUACAUUUUAAGUGACAGGGUUACUUUCGAUUUCUCUCAGUGUGCGGUCAAGAGUAACACAUGCAGAUUAUUUCCGGGGCUGAUUUAAACAUUGAAAAAUAUGUCCGCAAGCGCUCUAUUUUUGUAAAUAUUCAAGGGUCAUUUGAUUAUAAUCCGUUUUAUACCCCCUGUACUUUGUUGUACAAACACCUUUUUAUGGCUUACACAUGUUUGUGUAAAUAUGAUAGUUUUGCUUAUAUUCGAUUCAAAAGGUAUCAUGAAUAGAUUUUCCUCAUAUACAUAUUAAGAUUUGGAUAAAUGUGCAUUAGUAAAAUUUUACUGUUGGCUGUAUUGAACAUGUUAAAGUAAAUAUGAAUAUGUACAUCCUUAUCCCCUCUUUAUUUUAUUUUUACCAAAAAGAAUGAUAUUGAGAAGAACGAUUGCCAGCAACGUCAAUAAAGUUACCCAAACUACA
rnacentral:lncRNA from 1 species